UACGGAGGAUGCGAGCGUUAUCCGGAUUUAUUGGGUUUAAAGGGUGCGUAGGCGGAAUAUCAAGUCAGCGGUAAAAAUUCGGGGCUCAACCCCGUCGUGCCGUUGAAACUGGCGUGCUCGAGUUGGAGAGAAGUAUGCGGAAUUCGUGGUGUAGCGGUGAAAUGCAUAGAUAUCACGAAGAACCCCGAUUGCGAAGGCAGCAUACCGGCUCCACACUGACGCUGAGGCACGAAAGCGUGGGUAUCGAACAGG
rnacentral:rRNA from 1 species